CCUUCAUCAUUUGUCUCCAUAAUCUCCCGAGCUUGUGUUUUGCACUAAUUAGCUGACAUCUUCACUAAUGAAGUUCGACAACAAAAGAUGACCAAAGAUGGCAGAUGGUGCACAGACGAAUGAAAAGGGGUGUGCACGUACCUUCAGAACUCUCAUCACCACAAGUUGGAUGGUCCCUCUUAAAUUUCCCUCAUGUG